UUAUGUUUGAAGUUAGUAUGCCACUUUGACAUUGUAUUUGUGUAUUUAUUUGUUCUUUGAAUUUUCUUGUUAAGCUUGUUGGACAACUGGACAAGAUGAAGAAGAACAAUAUAACAUAUUGUACUGUGUCAAUAUCGUAGUAUUUUCUUACGAAGGUUACAACACGUACAAUUGAUGAAUAUUCAAGUCCAAGUGUUGGUUCUUCAAACAAUACCUAUUGAGAUAGUAGAAGGAAAUCCAACAUACAAAUGUGGAAAUCAUAGAAUUUGAAGGUGAGGCGACACAAAAAUAAGAGAGUAUUAGUGGUGUUCAGAGUUGGAAGUAUGAUCAAGCAAGGAUGAGAGAUGUUAUAUCUUACAUGAUUAUGGUUCAUGAAUUACCAUUUUCCUUUGUUGAGUAUGAAAUCUUCAACAUAAUCAUGC